CACGUAGGUGGCGAACGUUAUCCGGAAUUACUGGGCGUAAAGGGUCCGCAGGCGGCGGAGGAGGUCUGGUGUGACAGCCCGUGGCUCAACUACGGGAGGCCACUGGAAACCGCUCUGCUUGAAUCAGGCCGAGGUCGGUGGAAUUCCCGGUGUAGUGGUGGAAUGCGUAGAGAUCGGGAGGAACCUCGAAAGCGAAGGCAGCCGGCUAGGCCCUGAUUGACGCUGAGGGACGAGAGCGUGGGGAGCGAACAGG
rnacentral:rRNA from 1 species